rnacentral:sRNA from 1 species
UGAUAACUGGUAAUUGCCUUACUGAUCU